rnacentral:rRNA from 1 species
CUGCUGCCUCCCGUAGGAGUCUGGUCCGUGUCUCAGUACCAGUGUGGGGGACCUUCCUCUCAGAACCCCUACGCAUCGUCGGUUAGGUGGGCCGUUACCCCGCCU